AGCGAACGCUGGCGGCAGGCCUAACACAUGCAAGUCGAACGGAUCCUUCGGGAUUAGUGGCGGACGGGUGAGUAACACGUGGGAACGUGCCCUUUGGUUCGGAACAACUCAGGGAAACUUGAGCUAAUACCGGAUGUGCCCUUCGGGGGAAAGAUUUAUCGCCAUUGGAGCGGCCCGCGUCUGAUUAGCUAGUUGGUGGGGUAAAGACCCACCAAGGCGACGAUCAGUAGCUGGUCUGAGAGGAUGAUCAGCCACAUUGGGACUGAGACACGGCCCAAACUCCUACGGGAGGCAGCAGUGGGGAAUCUUGCGCAAUGGGCGAAAGCCUGACGCAGCCAUGCCGCGUGAAUGAUGAAGGUCUUAGGAUUGUAAAAUUCUUUCACCGGGGACGAUAAUGACGGUACCCGGAGAAGAAGCCCCGGCUAACUUCGUGCCAGCCGCCGCUGUAAAAC
rnacentral:rRNA from 1 species